GUGCGCUGAACUUUGGGCCCCGCGGGAGCAGCAUGGUCUCCAUUCCACGGGAGCGGCUGGUGGCCGGCGUGGAGUACACCUUCAGCCUCACCGUGUGGAAGGCCGGCCGCAAGGAGGAGGCCACCAACCAGACGGUGGGUGCCGCCCACCCCUUGGCCACAUGCCUCGGACAGCCCAGCAUCCCCGCUCAUCUACUGUUUUCUGUAUUUUAGUGCUUGUGGAGGCCGUACGCUCUCCGCUUUCUGUUUUUGAUGCAAAUUCUAUUUAACACAACAGCCUGCUUCAGCUUUGCUUCCUUCCAAACCUGUCACAGUUCCAUAUACAGUCUUCAAGCCACAUAUGCUCUAGUGAUUGACAAAAGCUACACAGUC
rnacentral:sRNA from 1 species